GGGCUCGUGGUCUAACGGUAUGACGUCGCAUUGGCUAUGCGGAGACUCCGGGUUCAAAUCCCGGCGAGUCCA
rnacentral:tRNA from 1 species